AUUGAACGCUGGCGGCAGGCCUAACACAUGCAAGUCGGGCGAGAGGCGGACGGGUGCGUAAUGUAUGGGGAUCUGCCUGAUGGCGGGGGAUAACUACUGGAAACGGUAGCUAAUACCGCAUACCAUCAGAUGAACACAAGUGGGAUUAGCGAGUAGGUGAGGUAACGGCUCACCUAGGCGACGAUCCCUAGCUGGUCUGAGAGGAUGAUCAGCCACACGUGGACUGAGACACGGUCCAGACUCCUACGGGAGGCAGCAGUGGGGAAUAGUGCACAAUGGGCGCAAGCCUGAUGCAGCCAUGCCGCGUGUAUGAAGAAGGCCUUCGGGUUGUAAAGUACUUUCAGUCGGGAGGCGUUACCGACAGAAGAAGCACCGGCUAACUCCGUGCCAGCAGCCGCGGUAAUUC
rnacentral:rRNA from 1 species